rnacentral:rRNA from 1 species
AUUACUCCUACGGGAGGCAGCAGUAGGGAAUCUUCCGCAAUGGACGAAAGUCUGACGGAGCAACGCCGCGUGAGUGAAGAAGGUUUUCGGAUCGUAAAACUCUGUUGUCAGAGAAGAACAAGUUGGAGAGUAACUGCUCCAGCCUUGACGGUAUCUGACCAGAAAGCCACGGCUAACUACGUGCCAGCAGCCGCGGUAAUAAU